ACUCUGUUUCAUGCAUGUAAGUGUGCAUGGAAUUUAUCACUUAAUCAUCUUUAUAGUUUCUAGAUUUCAGAGUCCAAUUUCUUCCGGGUCAUUCUUUGCGAUAUCCAUAUACACAGUCUGUUUGCAAUUGGUUUGAUUGCCACACUUUCUCUCGCUGUUUC